CUAAAAAUAAUUAACAGUAUAAUCCCUGAAUAUCAAAUAUGUAGUCAGCAUUCAAACUGCCUUUUGUCUCCGAACUGUCAAUAGAUUUUUAUUUUAAAUUUAAAAAUUUAUUUGAAUCAAGGGCCAGAGAAAGUCUAGGCGUGGCAACUGGUUGAUAAGACUUUUAUAGUCUUUUAAGUCUGUUUUAAUCUUUUCUCCUUGAUAUUUAUUUAAUGAUGUCACGUUGUUUAUUCUACAGAAUUUUCCAGUCUGCAAUUUGUUGAAUGCAUCCCUGUGGUGCCGUUUGACAUGAUCCUCUGUCCUCUGUAUUUCCUGCCAAUUGGUAGUUGGACCUAGAGCCAGAUUCCCUUUCGAUGUUAUGUAUUUACUGCUUCCCAGGCCCUUAGGGGUCUAUGCAGAUAGUAAUGGGGGAUGUGAAUCACUUGUCAGUAUUUUAAAGUACUUCAUAUUUUCAGCUACUAAUAUAAGCUAACAACAUCGUCCAUUUUCUUUGAUUUUGCCUAGAAUCACAUCAUCUCAUUGAGAUAAACCAGAUAUUUCAUGCAGUCUUCAGCCUGGCAAACAGCUAUUACGGACAAUGUGGAAGGAAGGUGGUGGAAAAUGAACUUUACAGAUUGCCCUCAGUCAUUAGCGAAAGUCACAAAGUCCAUAGAAGGCAGGACGUCAGUGGACAGGUGGUCCAGGUCGCCUGUGGUCAGGACCAUAGUCUGUUCCUAACGGAUAAAGGAGAAGUCUAUUCUGGUGGAUGGGGCGCAGCUGGGCAAACAGAAGGACAUGUUUUUGUCUGAGGCUACGGAAUUCUUGGCAAAGGACCAAACCUAGUGGAAACUGCUCUUCCGGAAGUGAUUCCACCCACUCUCUUCAGCUUGAUGGAGUUCAACCCAGAAGUCCAGGUUUCCCGCAUUUGCUGUGGACUCA